rnacentral:tRNA from 1 species
GAGAAUUUAGUAAAAUAAUAUAUUACAUCACUUUGUCAAAGUGAAAUCAAAGGUGAGACCCCUUUAAUUCUCG